GAGUGGGGUCAUGGAAGGGUGGGGUCGUGGAAGAGUGGGGUCAGGGAAGGGAAGGACUGGGAUUGCAGAAUGAUGGAAUCACGGAGAUUAGGAUCGGGGAUUGGGUGGGAUGGCAGAAGGAUGGGAUGAAGGAAUGGGGGAAUCUUGGAAGAAUGGGGAUGGUGGAAGGAGGGGAUGGCGGGAGGAUGGAAAGACGGGAGGAUGGGAGGACAGAGGGACGGGAUGAUGGAAGGGUGGGAUGAUGGGAGGAUGGGAGGACAGAAGGACAGACGGAUGGGAUGAUAGGAGAGGAUGAUGAUGGAAAGACAGGAGGAUGGGAGGAUGGGAUGAAGGACAGGAGGACGGGAGGACAGAGGGAUGGGACGAUGGAAGGACAGAAGGACGGGAUGAUGGGGGGAUGGAUUGAUGGGAGGAUGGGAUGAAGGAAGGACAGAAGGACAGAAGGAUGGGAUGAUAGGAGAGGAUGAUGGAAGGACAGGAAGACGGGAUGAUGGGAGGACAGGAUGAUGAACGGACGGGAUGACGGAAGGACAGAAGGAAGGGAUGAAAGGAGGACGGAAAGACAGACUGAUGGGAGGACGGGAUGAUGUGAGGAUGGAAAGAUGGAAAGAAGGACAGAAGGACGGGAUGAUGGGAGGACAGGAUGAUGAAUGGAUGGGAUGACAGGAGGACAGAAAGACAGACUGAUGGAAGGACAGAAUGAUGGAAAGAUGGAAGGACAGAAGGACGGGAUGAUGGGAGGACAGAGGGACGGGGUGAUGGGAGGACAGGAUGAUGAACGGAUGGGAUGACAGGGGAACAGAAAGACAGACUGAUGGGAGGACGGGAUGCUGGAAAGAUGGAAGGACAGAAGGACAGAAGGACAGAAGGAAUGGAUGACAAGAGGACGGAAAGACAGAUUGAUGGGAGAACAGAAGGACGGGAUGAUGGGAAGACAGAAGGACGGGAUGAUGGGAGGACAGAGGGAUGGGAUGAUGGGAAGACA
rnacentral:lncRNA from 1 species